UACAGAGGGGGCAAGCGUUGUUCGGAAUUACUGGGCGUAAAGCGAGUGUAGGUGGUUGUCCAAGUUGGAUGUGAAAGCCUUGAGCUCAACUCAAGAAAUGCAUUCAGGACUGGGCGGCUAGAGGACCGGAGAGGAUAGUGGAAUUCCCAGUGUAGUGGUGAAAUACGUAGAGAUUGGGAAGAACACCAGUGGCGAAGGCGGCUAUCUGGACGGUUUCUGACACUAAGACUCGAAAGCGUGGGGAGCAAACAGG
rnacentral:rRNA from 1 species